rnacentral:lncRNA from 1 species
CUGAAUUCAGCAUUUUGAGACAGAAGGGGUGGAUGUUCACACAGCCUGUGCCAGGCAGAGUAAGAAUACGCUUUGGAUUUUCCCAGCAUGAUAAGGAAGGACCACUGAUGGAGUCAAAACACUUGAGAAGAGCUGGUUUUCUACACAGUUGCAUACAAGCCAUGAAGCUCCUUGCAGCAGAUGGCAUGUGGAUGAAAUUUUUAUCAUAGAAACACAGAAUGCCUCAAGUUGGAAAGAACUUUAAAGAUCAAGUAGUACAAACCCAUGGUGCCAUGGGCAGGGGUACCUUCCACUAAACACAGUUGCCCAAAGCCUCGCCUCAUCAACCUGGCCUUGAACAGUUCCAAUGAAAGGUCAUCCCCAAGUUCUUUGGGCAGCAGUUUCAGUGUCUCACAAUCUGCACCAUGAAAGACUUAUUUCCUAUAUCCAAUCUAAAUCAACCCUCCAUUAGUUUGAAUUAUUGCUCCUUUUAUCUUGACUUACUGAAUUAUGAAUGAACUACAAGAUGAAGUAACAGCCAGGCUGCUGAACAUGAACAUGUCGCCUAUGCUUCAGGAAGUCCAUGAGCUGCAAAUGCUGGAGAGUGGUGAGAGAUUAGCAAAGUGUCCAUGCGAAGCACCAUGACAACCUCCUUGCCCAGACCUCCCUUUUGCUAUCUGGACUUCUGCUAUGACCCAGCACAGCUGCUGAAUAUGUUUACACUAUCUGUCACAAGCUUUUCAGGGUAUCCUGUAUAGCUCCUGGUUCAGCAGCACAUCAGUAGUCCAAUCAGAGCCAGGACCUGCUUGUGGGUGUUAUUUGCUCUGCCUUGUGCUGCCCUCAGCUCAGGCAUAGCAAAGAUCAGAGCAACCUGCAUUUUUUGUUGCCUCCCCAGUCCAUCUCUCCUUUCCUCUUUGUUCCCCCAGAAGAAGACAUAGGAUCCCUAAAUUGUGGUAAGGACAGUAGGGCCUGAUGUUUGUGUUGGAUACCUUUGUGCAAUCUUCUUAAAGUGUUUUCCAGAGUCAAACCCUAAAUCUAUCCAUUGAAAUGGCCUCAACAUCUUUCAGAUACAAUUUUUAAGAGCUGAAAAUUCUUGUUUGCAUUAGACAGAAGCAAAAUUGUUGCUUGGUGUACAUCAUCCCCAGAAGGCAAACAACCAAGUUCCUUGUGGAAUCCAUUCUCAAUCCCGCAACAUUGAAUCUGCACAACGCAAUUCUCCUACGUGAAAUGUAGCUUAAAGAUGUAAUGAAGAGGGCAAGUUCUUCAUGCCAGCUAAUUUUCAGACUGUCAUCUCUCAAGCAGUGCAGCAAGCUUGGGAUGUACACUGGAAAAUCUAGAGGGAAUAAAAGUAAUGUGGUUAGCCA